GACGAACGCUGGCGGCGUGCUUAACACAUGCAAGUCGAGCGGUAAGGCCUUUCGGGGUACACGAGCGGCGAACGGGUGAGUAACACGUGGGUGAUCUGCCUUCCAUCUGGGGUAAACCCGGGAAACCGGGGCCUAUUACGGAAUUUAACCCAACAAUCCUGUGCCGGGGGGGGAAGGCUUUGGGGUGCAGGAUGGGCCCGCGGCCUAUCAGGUUGGUGGUGGGGGAAUGGCCCACCAAGGCGACGACGGGUAGCCGACCUGAGAGGGUGACCGGCCACACUGGGACUGAGACACGGCCCAGACUCCUACGGGAGGCAGCAGUGGGGAAUAUUGCACAAUGGGCGGAAGCCUGAUGCAGCGACGCCGCGUGAGGGAUGAAGGCCUUCGGGUUGUAAACCUCUUUCAGCAGGGACGAAGCGUGAGUGACGGUACCUGCAGAAGAAGCACCGGCUAACUACGUGCCAGCCGCCGCGGUAAAAC
rnacentral:rRNA from 1 species